GAUAUGUGGCUCAGCUGGUAGAGCACUUGCCUCGCAAGCAUGAGUCCUCGGGUUCAAUUCCCAGCACCA
rnacentral:tRNA from 1 species